GACGAACGCUGGCGGCGUGCUUAACACAUGCAAGUCGAGCGGAAAGGCCCUUCGGGGUACUCGAGCGGCGAACGGGUGAGUAACACGUGAGUAACCUGCCCCAGACUUUGGGAUAACCCUCGGAAACGGGGGCUAAUACCGGAUACGACACAGCUUCGCAUGGGGUCUGUGUGGAAAGUUUUUCGGUUUGGGAUGGGCUCGCGGCCUAUCAGCUUGUUGGUGGGGUGAUGGCCUACCAAGGCGACAACGGGUAGCCGGCCUGAGAGGGCGACCGGCCACACUGGGACUGAGACACGGCCCAGACUCCUACGGGAGGCAGCAGUGGGGAAUAUUGCACAAUGGGCGGAAGCCUGAUGCAGCGACGCCGCGUGAGGGAUGACGGCCUUCGGGUUGUAAACCUCUUUCAGCAGGGACGAAGCGUAAGUGACGGUACCUGCAGAAGAAGCGCCGGCCAACUACGUG
rnacentral:rRNA from 1 species